AGAGUUUGAUCAUGGCUCAGAACGAACGUUAGCGGCGCGCCUAACACAUGCAAGUCGAACGCGACUGGGGGCAACUCCAGUUGAGUGGCGCACGGGUGAGUAACACGUAGGUAAUCUCCCCCCGAGUGGUGGAUAACCCUCCGAAAGGAGAGCUAAUACAGCAUGAGACCACGGGCUCGAAAGAGACUGAGGUCAAAGCGGAGGAUCGCAAGACUUCGCGCUUGGGGAUGAGCCUGCGGCCCAUCAUGGUAGUUGGCGGGGUAAUGGCCCACCAAGCCUUAGACGGGUAGCUGGUCUGAGAGGAUGAUCAGCCACACUGGAACUGAGACACGGUCCAGACUCCUACGGGAGGCAGCAGUGGGGAAUCUUGCGCAAUGGACGAAAGUCUGACGCAGCGACGCCGCGUGGGUGAUGAAGGCCUUCGGGUUGUAAAGCCCUGUGGGGAGGGACGAAUAAGUUAUGGCUAAUACCCAUAGCGAUGACGGUACCUCCUUAGCAAGCACCGGCUAACUCUGUGCCAGCAGCCGCGGUAAGACAGAGGGUGCAAACGUUGUUCGGAAUUACUGGGCGUAAAGCGCGUGUAGGCGGCUAUGCAAGUCGGAUGUGAAAGCCCUCGGCUCAACCGAGGAAGUGCACCCGAAACUGCAAAGCUAGAGUCUCGGAGAGGAUCGUGGAAUUCUCGGUGUAGAGGUGAAAUUCGUAGAUAUCGAGAGGAACACCGGUGGCGAAGGCGGCGAUCUGGACGAUGACUGACGCUGAGACGCGAAAGCGUGGGGAGCAAACAGGAUUAGAUACCCUUGUAGUCC
rnacentral:rRNA from 1 species